GUGACAGGUCUUUUACCCUAUUGGCUUGAGAUACCAACAAAUGAAUAUAUGCUGGUAAAACUUUAUAUAUAUUUGAUGAUUUUCCAACAUUUUUUUUUUGAUAAGGAUGAUUUUCCAACAUUGAAGCACAAAAACCGUUCGGGGAAGAUCACCAAGCACAAAAUACUUGUUACGAGGAAUUCCAUUUGCAUUCAACUGGCUUUUACGAUUAUUGGUGUAUGUGUACCCUUCUUCAAAGAUUUAUAAAUGAGUAUCGACUUGAUAAGGAGCGUUUCUCGGUGUCUGUAUUUGUUAUGUUCAUAAUCAGUCGUAGCAAAGGAAAGGCUAUUUCUCUCAGGCUACCUCCAUGUGCUUCAGGAGAUGUCUUGAAAUAUGCUGCAGCUAAGUGUCCUGCCCUAAAGGAACUGGUAUUGCCCAGCCGUACGUUCAGUGGAAUAUAAGUCGAGCCUAAUUCAAGAACUAAUUGGAAAGUGGACAAAUUUGGAGUAGUUGGAAUUGGCAACCAGCUAUAAUUUGGAGAACUUCCUUGGACAGAUCUCCAUUCACUGCAAGAACUUGCGUCGUUUGAGUGUGGCUAAUAAUGCAGACAUUGAUAAAGAUAAAGCAAUGGCAAUUGUUAGCUUGCUGCCUAAGCUUAAGCAAUUGAUCUUGAAGAGGGCAAAUAUUGAUCGGGGUGCUCUUGUGACGCUACUGCAGGGCUGCAACGAGCUUGUGCAUUUGGAUGUCAACCAUUGUAUAGGUUUUGAUGAGGGAGAUGAAGAAAUAGCAAAGCUUGCUUCUCAUGUUGCUAAUUUCCGCUCUCGGGGUUCUAUUCGAUUAUUAUGAUUACGAUGAGGGUGCAAGUUUUUACUAUGAUGAAGAUGUUCAUGGAUAUGGUUUCAAUUAAUCGUGCUAUUAAACUGCUAGAUAGGUAUCCAACUAAAUAAAGAUUGUUUUAAUACAACCUCUGAAGACUUUAGACAUGAGAUGGUCGACCCUAUAUUUGUGUAUCAAUGAAUGUGGUUGAUAAUGAACAGAAUCUCCGUGCCUUGCAGAUCAAGUCCAAAUCUUUUAGCUCAA